rnacentral:rRNA from 1 species
GACGAACGCUGGCGGCGCGCUUAACACAUGCAAGUCGAGCGAAGCGGCGGACGGGUGAGUAACACGUGAGUAACCUGACUUAGACAUUGGGAUAGCCUCGGGAAACCGGGAUUAAUACCAAAUGGCCUAAGAUGGACUCGCGUCCCAUUAGCUAGUUGGUGGGUAACGGCCCACCAAGGCGACGAUGGGUUGCCGGCCUGAGAGGGUGAACGGCAACAUUGGAACUGUGAAACGGUCCAAACUCUACGUGAGGCAGCAGUGGGGAAUAUUGCACAAUGGAGUGAACUCUGAUGCAGCGACGCCGCGUAAACGAAGAAGUCUUUCGAGUCGUAAAGUGCUUUUAUAUGGGAAGCGGUACCAUACGAAAAAGUCCCGGCUAACUACGUGCCAGCAGCCGCGGUAAUAC